rnacentral:rRNA from 1 species
AGCGAACGCUGGCGGCAGGCUUAACACAUGCAAGUCGAGGGGUAGCAGGGUAGCAAUACCGCUGACGACCGGCGCACGGGUGAGUAACACGUAUCCAACCUUCCCAUAACUCGGGGAUAGCCUUUCGAAAGAAAGAUUAAUACCCGAUAGUACUUAAGAAAGGCAUCUUUUUUAAGUUAAAGAUUUAUUGGUUAUGGAUGGGGAUGCGUUCCAUUAGAUAGUUGGUGAGGUAACGGCUCACCAAGUCUUCGAUGGGUAGGGGGUCUGAGAGGAAGGUCCCCCACAUUGGUACUGAGACGCGGACCAAACUCCUACGGGAGGCAGCAGUGAGGAAUAUUGGUCAAUGGGCGAGAGCCUGAACCAGCCAAGUAGCGUGAAGGAUGAAGGUCCUAUGGAUUGUAAACUUCUUUUAUAGUAGAAUAAAGUGAUCCACGUGUGGGUUUUUGUAUGUAUACUAUGAAUAAGGAUCGGCUAACUCCGUGCCAGCAGCCGCCGCAG